rnacentral:rRNA from 1 species
GAUGAACGCUGGCGGCGUGCUUAACACAUGCAAGUCGAACGAUUAAAGCCCCCUUCGGGGGGUGUAUAGAGUGGCGAACGGGUGAGUAACACGUGGGGAACCUGCCCCUCUCUCUGGGAUAACUCCGGGAAACCGGUGCUAAUACCGGAUACUCCGAUCAGGUCGCAUGGCCAGAUCGGGAAAGCUCCGGCGGAGAGGGAUGGUCCCGCGGCCCAUUAGCUUGUUGGUGAGGUAACGGCUCACCAAGGCCGCGAUGGGUAGCCGAGCUGAGAGGGUGAUCGGCCACACUGGGACUGAGACACGGCCCAGACUCCUACGGGAGGCAGCAGUAGGGAAUCUUCCGCAAUGGACGAAAGUCUGACGGAGCAACACCGCGUGAGCGAAGAAGGCCUUCGGGUCGUAAAGCUCUGUUGUUAGGGAAGAACAAGUACGAGAGUAACUGCUCGUACCUUGACGGUACCUAACCAGAAAGCCACGGCUAACUACGUGCCAGCCGCCGCCUAAGAC